AGAAUGUAGUUUAAGUAAGAGCACCGGCUUUGGGUGCCGGAAGUGCGAGUGUAAGUCUUGUCGUUUUGA
rnacentral:tRNA from 1 species